rnacentral:rRNA from 1 species
AAAGAUUAAGCCAUGCAUGUCUAAGUACAUGUGUAUUUAACACGAAACCGCGUAUGGCUCAUUAUAACAGCUAAUAUUUACUUGAUUUUGACUUUUAUCCUACAUGGAUAACUGUGGUAAUUCUGGAGCUAAUACAUGCAUAAAAGAUGUUUCUUUAUUGAAACAUUGCGUAUAUUAGUAUUAAAACCAAGCAUUCUUUUGAAUGUUUUGUGUUGAAACUGAAUAUAUCUGCUGAUCGUAUGGUCUUGUACCGACGACAUGUCAUUCAAGUGUCUGAUCUAUCGACUUUCUAUAUAAGUAUAUAGUACUUAUAUGGUUUUAACGGAUAACGGGGUAUUAGGGUACGACUCCGGAGAAAAUGCCUGAGAAACGGCGUUUACAUCCAAGGAAGGCAGCAGGCGCGAAAAUUACCCACUCUCAGUACGAGGAGGUAGUGACGAGAAAUGACAAGAUCUAUUCCUUCGGGGAUGGAUCAUUGGAAUGGUUUGAUUUUAAAAUCAUUAAAGAGUAUCAAUGAGAGGGCAAGUCUGGUGCCAGCAGCCGCGGUAAUUCCAGCUCUCAUACUGCAUUGAAUUGUUGUUGCGGUUAAAAAGCUCGUAGUUGGAUCUGUACAUAAUAGGUUAGUUUAUUCUUUACGGAAUAUAACUAAUACUAAAUGUUUUUUGUCAGAUUUAUUUACGGUUUUUACGAAUCGUAAAUUGUCUAACGAGUUUACUUUGAAUAAAUCAGAGUGCUCAAAACAGGCGUAAGCUUGUAUGGUUUUGCAUGGAAUAAUAGAACAUGACUAUGGUUCAUGUUUUAUUGGUUUUACUUACCAUAGUAAUGAUUAAAAGGAACAAACGGGGGCAUCCGUAUCGCAUGGCGAGAGGUGAAAUUCGUGGACCCUUGCGAGACGAACUACAGCGAAAGCAUUUGCCAAGAAUG